AUGGUUAAGACUAGGGUUAAGGUUUGGGAUAGGGUUAUGAAUGGUUAAGAUAAGGGUUAAGGUCUGGGAUAGGGUUAUGAAUGGUUAAGAUAAGGGUUAAGGUCUGGGAUAGGGUUAUGAAUGGUUAAGAUAAGGGUUAAGGUCUGGGAUAGGGUUAUGAAUGGUUAAGGUCUGGGAUAGGGUUAUGAAUGGUUAAGACUAGGGGUUAAGGUCUGGGAUAGGGUUAUGAAUGGUUAAGACUAGGGGUUAAGGUCUGGGAUAGGGUUAUGAAUGGUUAAGACUAGGGGUUAAGGUCUGGGAUAGGGUUAUGAAUGGUUAAGACUAG